UCAUAUGCUUGUCUCAAAGAUUAAGCCAUGCAUGUCUAAGUACAAGCCUCACUAAGGUGAAACCGCGAAUGGCUCAUUAAAUCACACCUAAUCUACUGGAUGGUUAACAGUUACUUGGAUAACUGCGGUAAUUCUGGAGCUAAUACAUGCACAAAGCCUCGAACUUACGUGAGAGGCGCUUUUAUUAGAUCAAAACCAAACGUUUUCGAACGUUUUCUUGGUGACUCUGAAUAACUUUUGGCUGAUCGCAUAGCCUUGCGCUGGCGACAUAUCCUUCGAAGGUGUGCCCUAUCAACUGUCGACUGUGGCAUAGACGCCCACAGUGGUUUUGACGGGUAACGGGGAAUCAGGGUUCGAUUCCGGAGAGGGAGCCUUAAAAACGGCUACCACAUCUAAGGAAGGCAGCAGGCACGCAAAUUACCCAAUGACCGCAGGUCGAGGUAGUGACGAAAAAUAACGAUACGGGACUCAUCCGAGGCCCCGUAAUCGGAAUGAGUACACUUUAAAACCGUCCCCGAGGAUCUAUUGGAGGGCAAGUCUGGUGCCAGCAGCCGCGGUAAUUCCAGCUCCAAUAGCGUAUAUUAAAGUUGUUGUGGUUAAAAAGCUCGUAGUUGGAUCUCAGCAGUUUGAGGUUGGUGUACUUGCUAGUACUACUGCCCUAUAGACUGUAGUUUUGCCAGAGGUAGUUGGGUGCUCUUAAUCGAGUGUCCUAUUAUGCUGGCAGGUUUACUUUGAAAAAAUUAGAGUGCUCAAAGCAGGCUAUUACGCCUGAAUAUUCGUGCAUGGAAUAAUAGAAUAGGAAGUCGUUUCUAUUUUGUUGGUUUUUAAGUUUCGACUUAAUGAUUAAUAGGGACAAACGGGGGCAUUUGUAUUCAAACGACAGAGGUGAAAUUCUUGGACCGUUUGAAGACAAACUACUGCGAAAGCAUUUGCCAAGAGUGUUUUCAUUAAUCAAGAACGAAAGUUAGAGGUUCGAAGGCGAUUAGAUACCGCCCUAGUUCUAACCAUAAACGAUGCCAGCUAGCGAUCUGCCGACGUUUU
rnacentral:rRNA from 1 species